GCCGCCGUAGCUCAGUGGCAGAGCACAUCCUUGGUAAGGAUGGGGUCGACAGUUCAAUUCUGUCCGGCGGCACCA
rnacentral:tRNA from 2 species